GGCACGGUAGCUCAGAUGGUUAGAGCACGCGACUCAUAACCGCGGGGUCGGGGGUUCGAUUCCCCCCUGUGCCA
rnacentral:tRNA from 1 species